GACGAACGCUGGCGGCGUGCUUAACACAUGCGAGUCGAACGGAAAGGCCUGCUUUCCCUUGUGGAUUGCGGGUACUCGAGUGGCGAACGGGUGAGUAACACGUGAGUGAUCUGCCCCCAACUUGGGUAUAAGCCUGGGAAACUGGGUCUAAUUCCCGAUAGGACUGCAGGGUGGUGCCUGUGGUGGAAAACGAUUUUCUAGUGGUUGGGGAUGAGCUCGCGGCCUAUCAGCUUGUUGGUGGGGUAAUGGCCUACCAAGGCGGCGACGGGUAGCCGGCCUGAGAGGGUGGACGGCCACAUUGGGACUGGGAUACGGCCCAGACGCCUGCGGGAGGCAGCAGUGGGGAAUAUUGCACAAUGGGCGGAAGCCUGAUGCAGCGACGCCGCGUGGGGGAUGGCGGCCUUCGGGUUGUAAACUCCUUUCGACCGCGAGGAAGCCACCUGGUUGGAAGGGUGGUGACGGUAGUGGUAGAAGAAGCACCGGCUAACUACGUG
rnacentral:rRNA from 1 species